rnacentral:rRNA from 1 species
CCUACGGGAGGCAGCAGUCGAGAAUCAUUCACAAUGGGGGAAACCCUGAUGGUGCGACGCCGCGUGGGGGAAUGAAGGUCUUCGGAUUGUAAACCCCUGUCAUGUGGGAGCAAAUUAAAAAGAUAGUACCACAAGAGGAAGAGACGGCUAACUCUGUGCCAGCAGCCGCGGUAAUACAGAGGUCUCAAGCGUUGUGCGGAAUCACUGGGCGUAAAGCGUGCGUAGGCUGUUUCGUAAGUCGUGUGUGAAAGGCGCGGGCUCAACCCGCGGACGGCACAUGAUACUGCGAGACUAGAGUGAUGGAGGGGGAAGCGGAAUUCUCGGUGUAGCAGUGAAAUGCGUAGAUAUCGAGAGGAACACUCGUGGCGAAGGCGGGUUCCUGGACAUUAACUGACGCUGAGGCACGAAGGCCAGGGGAGCGAAAGGGAUUAGAUACCCGAGUAGUC